rnacentral:rRNA from 1 species
AACAGGAUUAGAUACCCUGGUAGUCCACGCCGUAAACGAUGUCUACUAGCUGUUCGUGGUCUUGUACUGUGAGUAGCGCAGCUAACGCACUAAGUAGACCGCCUGGGGAGUACGGUCGCAAGAUUAAAACUCAAAUGAAUUGACGGGGGCCCGCACAAGCGGUGGAGCAUGUGGUUUAAUUCGACGCAACGCGAAGAACCUUACCUACUCUUGACAUCUAGCGAAGAUUGCAGAGAUGCAGUUGUGCCUUCGGGAACGCUAAGACAGGUGCUGCAUGGCUGUCGUCAGCUCGUGUUGUGAAAUGUUGGGUUAAGUCCCGCAACGAGCGCAACCCUUAUCCUUAGUUGCCAGCACGUAAUGGUGGGAACUCUAGGGAGACUGCCGGUGAUAAACCGGAGGAAGGUGGGGACGACGUCAAGUCAUCAUGGCCCUUACGAGUAGGGCUACACACGUGCUACAAUGGUACGUACAGAGGGAGGCAAGCUGGCGACAGUGAGCGGAUCUCUUAAAGCGUAUCGUAGUCCGGAUCGCAGUCUGCAACUCGACUGCGUGAAGUCGGAAUCGCUAGUAAUCGCAAAUCAGAAUGUUGCGGUGAAUACGUUCCCGGGCCUUGUACACACCGCCCGUCACACCAUGGGAGUGGGUUGCAAAAGAAGUAGGUAGCUUACCCUUCGGGGAGGGCGCUUUACCACUUUGUGAUUCAUGACUUGGGGUGAAGUCGUAACAAGGUACC